UACGUAGGGUGCAAGCGUUAAUCGGAAUUACCGGGCGUAAAGCGUGCGCAGGCGGUUUUGUAAGUUUGUCGUGAAAGCCCCGGGCUCAACCUGGGAAUGGCGAUGAAGACUGCAAGGCUUGAAUCUGGCAGAGGGGGGUAGAAUUCCACGUGUAGCAGUGAAAUGCGUAGAGAUGUGGAGGAACACCGAUGGCGAAGGCAGCCCCCUGGGUCAAGAUUGACGCUCAUGCACGAAAGCGUGGGGAGCAAACAGG
rnacentral:rRNA from 1 species